UGACAGAUAGAUAGAUGGAUCCUACUGGUUGUUUCUCUGGAGAACCCUGACUAAAAUGCCUAGAGAUUAUAUCAAGUAUGAAGGAAUCUCCCUUUCUGUGGGCACUGCUGUGUCUAUCUUUCAUCUAUCACCUAUCUAUCUAUCUAUCUAUCUAUCUAUCUAUCUAUCUCAUCUACCCUUCUCCACUAACCAAUCCCCAAUUUUGUCAGGUACCAGAAGAUAGCUCUUAUCUUAAGACUGUGACAGACCUAACCAGAGGACUGCAAUGGGACAAAGGAGAAUGGAGGUGCAGGGUUUGGGGAACAAUAUUUUCUUCUUGAAAAAAAGGGUAUAAAAUUUCCUUUCCUGACUCUCUCCUGAACACAAUUGUGUGACAGCAACUGUGUCUAAGGGGCAAAGCCAAGAAAAUCAUGGAGGGACAUACACCUUCAGCCAGGCAACAACUGUGCUGCCACUGCCCAACCCAGGAUGCCGGUUACUGGCUUUGAUGCCUGCUUCCCACACACCCACACUAUUAGACAGCUGUGCUUUUGCUGUAUGGCCAGGCCUACAACACAGGCCUUUGAUUUCUAAGAAACAUGAGAGGCCUCUGUACCGGAAGAAUUGAAUCAGACGAUAACUUUUCUGCACUUUUCCUGGUGACUCUUGGAUCAGUGGCUCCUUUGAAAGUAAUUGGGCUUUAAGGCCAUUUCAACCAAGCAGAAUUGUGAAGACAAACAUAAAGAAACAAAGAUGAGAGUCCCACCCACUGAGGAAGAGAAAGAGCUGAAGAACAGGAGCAGAGGGAAAGGACAGAAAGAAACCCACUAAGCCUCCCUCCAGGUGACUGAGAGAUUUUUCGUCUUGGUUCAAGUCCUUUGUAAGGCUUAGCUAUAAUUCCUACCCUUGCAUUCUGCAUAAUUACCCUGUGUACCUUUUUUUUUCCUUUGCUUUGGAUUUUUUAUAUUUACAACUAAACAAUGCAUGUCUAAGAAACC
rnacentral:lncRNA from 10 species